GUUGAAAGGCUGCUUCAAUGUUGAUAGCAAGCUAUAAUUAUUCAUUUAGAAAGUGUUAAGCAAUGACUAUAUCUCUAAACUAAUCCAUGCGGUUUUGUUCCACUCA
rnacentral:lncRNA from 1 species